CCUACGGGUGGCAGCAGUGGGGAAUAUUGCACAAUGGGGGAAACCCUGAUGCAGCAACGCCGCGUGAGCGAUGAAGGCCUUCGGGUAGUAAAGCUCUGUCCUAAGGGAAGAAUACUGACGGUACCUUAGGAGGAAGCCACGGCUAACUACGUGCAAGCAGCCGCGGUAAUACGUAGGGGGCUAGCGUUAUCCGGAAUUACUGGGCGUAAAGGGAGCGUAGGCGGCCCUUCAGGUCAGAGGUGUAAGGCUACGGCUCAACCGUAGUAAGCCUUUGAAACUGUAGGGGUUGAGUGCAGGAGAGGAGAGUGGAAUUCCCAAUGUCGCGGUGAAGUGCGUAGAUAUUGGGAGGAACACCAGUUGCGAAGGCGGCUCUCUGGACUGUAUCUGACGCGGAGGCGCGAAAGCGUGGGGAGCGAACAGGAUUAGAUACCCUAGUAGUC
rnacentral:rRNA from 1 species